rnacentral:rRNA from 1 species
CUAGCAAGUCUAACCUUACACAAAGAACUUAGUAAGACACCCCGAAACCAGACGAGCUACCUUAGGGCAGUACAACGAACGAAUCCCCCUCUGUGGCAAAAGAGCGGAAAGACCCUAAAGUAGAGGCAAUAAACCAAGCGAGCCUGGAUAUAGCUGGUUGCUUGAGAAAGAAUUUAAGUUCACAUAAAAGUAACAAUACCAAUAAGGAAAAAAUAAACUUUUAUUCUAAUUAAUUGAGUUACAGCCCAAUUAAUAAGGGAGACAACCCAAAAUAAUGAAUAACGAUUAUAAUCUUAAAGAAUAUGAGUCCAGUAGGCCUAAAAGCAGCCAUCAAAACAGCGUCAAAGCUUAACUCAAAAAAUAUCAACUAUUCCAACAAUUAUGCCAAAUUCAAUAAAACAAUCAAGCCAAUCUAUUUAUAGAUAUACUACUACUAGAAUGAGUAAUAAGGACACACCUCUAAAAUACAAACAUAAAUCAGAACGAACAUAUCACUGAUAAUUAAUGAAUAUAUUUAUAAAACAAGAAACUAAUAAUAAAAAUCAUUAACCCAACACAGGAGUAUUAAAGAAAGACUUAAAAUCCAGGAAGGAACUCGGCAAACCAAGGCUU